rnacentral:rRNA from 1 species
GACGUAGGGCGCGAGCGUUGUCCGGAUUUAUUGGGCGUAAAGAGCUCGUAGGCGGCUUGUCGCGUCGUCUGUGAAAUCCCGCGGCUCAACCGCGGGUCUGCAGUCGAUACGGGCAGGCUAGAGUUCGGUAGGGGAGACUGGAAUUCCUGGUGUAGCGGUGAAAUGCGCAGAUAUCAGGAGGAACACCGGUGGCGAAGGCGGCUCUCUGGGUCGGACCUGACGCUGAGGCGCGAAAGCGUGGGGAGCGAACGGG